rnacentral:sRNA from 1 species
UUGACAGUCUUGGAAAAUGAAGUCCUCAAAAAAAGGAACAGCACAGGUAAUGGCAGUGCAAGUUUCCUCACACUGCCCUGCCAAUAUGCCCAAUUCCUAACCUGGAUAUCCACUUCUGGAAUGAGGAGGACAACUCAUUUUCUAUGCUUACCUAGACUUUGAGAUGUU